UAGGGAAUCUUCCGCAAUGGACGCAAGUCUGACGGAGCAACGCCGCGUGAGUGAAGAAGGUUUUCGGAUCGUAAAACUCUGUUGUUAGAGAAGAACAAGUGCUAGAGUAACUGUUAGCGCCUUGACGGUAUCUAACCAGAAAGCCACGGCUAACUACGUGCCAGCAGCCGCGGUAAUACGUAGGUGGCAAGCGUUGUCCGGAUUUAUUGGGCGUAAAGCGAGCGCAGGCGGUUCCUUAAGUCUGAUGUGAAAGCCCCCGGCUCAACCGGGGAGGGUCAUUGGAAACUGGGGAACUUGAGUGCAGAAGAGGAGAGUGGAAUUCCAUGUGUAGCGGUGAAAUGCGUAGAUAUAUGGAGGAACACCAGUGGCGAAGGCGACUCUCUGGUCUGUAACUGACGCUGAGGCUCGAAAGCGUGGGUAGCAAACAGGACUAGAUACCCUGGUAGUCCACGCCGUAAACGAUGAGUGCUAGGUGUUGGAUCCUUUCCGGGAUUCAGUGCCGCAGCUAACGCAUUAAGCACUCCGCCUGGGGAGUACGACCGCAAGGUUG
rnacentral:rRNA from 1 species